UCCUGGUCCAAGUGCAGUGGUAUUUACAACUAAUUGAUCACAACCAGUUACUUAUUUCUUUGUUCUUUCUACGUUCCCACUGCUUUACUUGACUAGCCUAAA
ensembl:misc_RNA Y_RNA Y RNA